rnacentral:sRNA from 1 species
GGAAAGAAGAAGAAGAAGAAGAAGAAGAAGCAC